rnacentral:rRNA from 1 species
AGAUUGAACGCUGGCGGCAGGCCUAACACAUGCAAGUCGAGCGGCAGCACGGGUACUUGUACCUGGUGGCGAGCGGCGGACGGGUGAGUAAUGCCUAGGAAUCUGCCUGAUAGUGGGGGAUAACGUUCGGAAACGGACGCUAAUACCGCAUACGUCCUACGGGAGAAAGUGGGGGAUCUUCGGACCUCACGCUAUCAGAUGAGCCUAGGUCGGAUUAGCUAGUUGGUAGGUAAAGGCCUACCAAGGCUACGAUCCGU